CCUACGGGAGGCUGCAGUGGGGAAUAUUGGACAAUGGGGGCAACCCUGAUCCAGCCAUGCCGCGUGUGUGAAGAAGGCCGUCGGGUUGUAAAGCACUUUCAGUGAGGAAGAACGCCUGGUGGUUAAUACCCAUCAGGAAAGACAUCACUCACAGAAGAAGCACCGGCUAACUCCGUGCCAGCAGCCGCGGUAAUACGGAGGGUGCGAGCGUUAAUCGGAAUUACUGGGCGUAAAGCGCGCGUAGGUGGCUUGAUAAGCCGGUUGUGAAAGCCCCGGGCUCAACCUGGGAACGGCAUCCGGAACUGUCAAGCUAGAGUGCAGGAGAGGAAGGUAGAAUUCCCGGUGUAGCGGUGAAAUGCGUAGAGAUCGGGAGGAAUACCAGUGGCGAAGGCGGCCUUCUGGACUGACACUGACACUGAGGUGCGAAAGCGUGGGUAGCAAACAGGAUUAGAUACCCUGGUAGUC
rnacentral:rRNA from 1 species